rnacentral:rRNA from 1 species
UACGGGGGGAGCAAGCGUUGUUCGGAUUUACUGGGCGUAAAGGGCGCGUAGGCGGUCAGCACAAGUCAGUUGUGAAAUCUCCGGGCUUAACUCGGAAAGGUCAACUGAUACUGUGCGACUAGAGUGCAGAAGGGGCAACUGGAAUUCUCGGUGUAGCGGUGAAAUGCGUAGAUAUCGAGAGGAACACCUGCGGCGAAGGCGGCGAUCUGGGUAGAUACUGACGCUGAGGUGCGAAAGCGUGGGGAGCAAACAGG